UGGGGAAUAUUGCACAAUGGGCGAAAGCCUGAUGCAGCGACGCCGCGUGAAGGAUGAAGUAUUUCGGUAUGUAAACUUCUAUCAGCAGGGAGAAAAUGACGGUACCUGACUAAGAAGCCCGGCUAACUACGUGCC
rnacentral:rRNA from 1 species